ACUCAAAUGAAUAGACGGGGACUCGCACAAGCGGUGGAGCAUGCGGUUUAAUUCGACGACAAGCGAGGAACCUUACCUGGGUUUGAAACGCAAGUUUGUAGCUCCCGAGAAACCGGGAGUGACCGUUAAAUCGGAAGCUUGUACAGGUGCUGCACGGUCGUCGUCAGCUCGUGCUGUGAAGUGUUCGGUUCAGUCCGGUAACGAGCGCAACCCCUAUCCUAUGUUGCAUUUCUCAUAGGAGACCGCCUCGGUUAACGGGGAGGAAGGUGGGGAUGACGUCAGAUCAGCGUGGCCCUUAUGUCCAGGGCGACACUCAUGCUACAAUGGCCAUUACAAAGGGUUGCCAAGCCGCGAGGCGGAGCUAAUCCCAGCAAAAAUGGUCUCAGUUCGGAUUGCAGGCUGCAACUCGCCUGCAUGAAGUCGGAAUCGCUAGUAACCGUAGAUCAGCCAUGCUACGGUGAAUACGUUCUCGAGUCUUGUACACACCGCCCGU
rnacentral:rRNA from 1 species